rnacentral:tRNA from 2 species
GCACCCGUAGCUCAGUUGGUAGAGCAGAUGACUCUUAAUCAUCGGGUCGAAGGUUCAAGUCCUUCCGGGUGCACCA